AACACUUGGGUGAUCUGCUGUGCACUUUCGGUGAUAAGCUUGGUGAACUGGGUCUAAUCCCGGAUAGGACAACCUGGUUAAGUGUCAAGUUUGUGGAAAGGUUUUUGUCGGUUCCAAGAUGAGCUCUCGGCCUGAUCAGCUUUUGUNGGGUAAUGCCUUACCAAGGCGUCGUACGGUAACCAGGCCUGAGUAGGUUGUACGGCCACAUUUGGGACUGAGAUCGGCCCAGACUCCUACGGGAGGCAGCAUUGGGGAAUAUUGCACAAUGGGCGGAAGCCUGAUGCAGCGACGCCGCGUGGGGGAUGAAGGCCUUCGGGUUGUAAACUCCUUUCGACAGGGACGAAGCGUAAGUGACGGUACCUGUAUAAGAAGCACCGGCUAACUACGUGCCAGCAGCCGCGGUAAUACGUAGGGUGCGAGCGUUGUCCGGAAUUACUGGGCGUAAAGAGCUCGUAGGUGGUUUGUCGCGUCGUCUGUGAAAUUCCGGGGCUUAACUCCGGGCGUGCAGGCGAUACGGGCUGACUUGAGUGCUGUAGGGGAGACUGGAAUUCCUGGUGUAGCUGGUGAAAUGCGCAGAUAUCAGGAGGAACACCUGAUGGCGAAGGCAGGUCUCUGGGCAGUAACUGACGCUGAGGAGCGAAAGCAUGGGUAGCGAACAGGAUUAGAUACCUGGUAGUCCAUGCCGUAAACGGUGGGCGCUAGGUGUAGGGGGCUUCCACGUCUUCUGUGCCGUAGCUAACGCAUUAAGCGCCCCGCCUGGGAGUAC
rnacentral:rRNA from 1 species